AGUAAUUAUACACUUUUUACAGGCUGUUAGAGGCAGAUCAGAAAGCAUGCAGUUCCCUCAACUCUGCGCCCUCUCCGACCCCCGGUCACUCACGGAAGGGAUCGGGGUCUAGUGUGCAGUCCUCUACGUCCUCCAACAGUCACUACAGUACACAGCAGACAGACGAGGAGAACAACCUGUCCACAUCAGGGAACCUGUGGGAUGUGUGGGGUAAACUUGUCAAUGACUGGGAAAAUGCCAAAAAGAAACAGCAAUAUAUCAAGGACCUGGUUCGGAAGGGAAUCCCACAUCACUUCCGGGGGCUAGCCUGGCAGCUGUUGUUGAACGUGAAUGAGUCGCCCCACCGACAAAUGUAUGUGGAAUACUUAAAGGACAGUUCCCCCAGUGAAAAGCUUAUCAAGCGAGA